CCGAGCAAAGCUAAAUAUAGAUAUCAUUUGGUGGCUAUCCUGCAGGAGUUUUGAUCUUUGGGUCCUGCGUAAUGGGCACCUGCGAAUCGUGUCAGGGCAGGAAUGCAGCAGCACUAAGUAGGACCGUUCAUCUGACGCGGGGUCGCCUGGAGGGAGUUUCUACAGGGUGGCUUCCAAUUGGUAUCUAUAGGUGGCGGCUCGG
rnacentral:SRP_RNA from 1 species